rnacentral:tRNA from 1 species
GAAUAGUAAAGAAAAAGCUGCUAACUUUUUUUUUAGCGAAAAGCUACUGUAGA